GCCAUCUUAGCUCAGCUGGUAGAGCAGCUGUUUUGUAAACAGCAGGUCGUCGGUCCGAAUCCGUCAGAUGGCU
rnacentral:tRNA from 1 species